rnacentral:rRNA from 1 species
GACGAACGCUGGCGGCGUGCUUAACACAUGCAAGUCGAACGGAAAGGCCCCUUUGGGGGUACUCGAGUGGCGAACGGGUGAGUAACACGUGAGUAACCUGCCCUUGACUUCGGGAUAACUUCAGGAAACUGGGGCUAAUACCGGAUAGGAAUCCUUGCUGCAUGGUGGGGGUUGGAAAGCUUCGGCGGUUUUGGAUGGACUCGCGGCUUAUCAGCUUGUUGGUGGGGUAGUGGCUUACCAAGGCUUUGACGGGUAGCCGGCCUGAGAGGGCGACCGGCCACAUUGGGACUGGGAUACGGCCCAGACUCCUACGGGAGGCAGCAGUGGGGAAGAUUGCACAAUGGGCGGAAGCCUGAUGCAGCAACGCCGCGGGCGGGAUGACGGCCUUCGGGUUGUAAACCGCUUUCAGCAGGGGCGAAGCUUGUGGUGACGGUACCUGCAGAAGAAGCACCGGCUAACUACGUG